CCUAGUAAAAAAGCUAGAAUUACAACAUAAGACCAGAAGACCCUGUGAAGCUUAAAUAAAACUAUUAAACCACAUAAUAACUACUUUCGGUUGGGGCGACCUUGGAAAAAAAGAGAACUUCCAAAUAAAUGACCAUACCUCAUUACCUAGACAGGCCAACAAGCCAAAAAUGACCCAGCACAGCUGAUAAUUGAACCAAGUUACUCCAGGGAUAACAGCGCAAUCUUCUUCAAGAGCCCAUAUCAAAAAGAAGGUUUACGACCUCGAUGUUGGAUCAGGACAUCCUAAUGGUGCAGCCGCUAUUAAGGGUUCGUUUGUUCAACGAUUAAUA
rnacentral:rRNA from 1 species